AAGUCGUAACAAGGUUUCCGUAGGUGAACCUGCGGAAGGAUCAUUAUUGAAAUAAUCUGUGGGUGCUGUGCUGGCCUCUCGGGGUAAUGUGCACGCACUUGCUAAUUAUCAUUAUCUUCUUGUGAACCUAGUGUAGUCGUUUUGGUUUUUGAAGUGUAUGGGGGCAACCCUGUAGGCUUUGAAGGCUCGAGCGACUAUGAUUUUAUAUAAACUAUUGUCUGUCCUAGAAUGUUACUUUAUUGACUGCGAAGUCAGUAAACUUUAUACAACUUUCAGCAACGGAUCUCUUGGCUCUCCCAUCGAUGAAGAACGCAGCGAAAUGCGAUAAGUAAUGUGAAUUGCAGAAUUCAGUGAAUCAUCGAAUCUUUGAACGCACCUUGCGCCCUUUGGUAUUCCGAAGGGCAUGCCUGUUUGAGUGUCAUUAAAUUCUCAACCUUGAACCAGUUUUGCGACUGGGUCAAGGCUUGGAUGUGAGGGCUUUGCUGGCUUCCUUCAGUGGAUGGUCUGCUCCCUUUAAAUGCAUUAGUGGGAUCCUUUGUGGACGGUCACUUGGUGUGAUAAUUAUCUACGCCUUGUUGACUGUGAAGCAAAACUUAUGGGACCCUGCUUAUAACCGUCCUUCGGGACAAUUUAUUGACCAUUUGACCUCAAAUCAGGUAGGACUACCCGCUGAACUUAAGCAUAUCAAUAAGCGGAGGAAAAGAAACUAACAAGGAUUCCCCUAGUAACUGCGAGUGAAGCGGGAAAAGCUCAAAUUUAAAAUCUGGCAGCUUCGCUGUCCGAGUUGUAAUUUAGAGAA
rnacentral:misc_RNA from 1 species